GACGAACGCUGGCGGCGUGCUUAACACAUGCAAGUCGAACGGAAAGGCCCUGCUUUUGUGGGGUGCUCGAGUGGCGAACGGGUGAGUAACACGUGAGUAACCUGCCCUUGACUUUGGGAUAACUUCAGGAAACUGGGGCUAAUACCGGAUAGGAGCUCCUGCUGCAUGGUGGGGGUUGGAAAGUUUCGGCGGUUGGGGAUGGACUCGCGGCUUAUCAGCUUGUUGGUGGGGUAGUGGCUUACCAAGGCUUUGACGGGUAGCCGGCCUGAGAGGGUGACCGGCCACAUUGGGACUGGAAUACGGCCCAGACUCCAACGGGAGGCAGCAGUGGGGAAGAUUACACAAUGGGCGGAAGCCUGAUGCAGCAACGCCGCGUGCGGGAUGACGGCCUUCGGGUUGUAAACCGCAUUCGCCUGUGACGAAGCGUGAGUGACGGUAAUGGGUAAAGAAGCACCGGCUAACUACGUG
rnacentral:rRNA from 1 species